ACAGCCUGGCGAUGGCAGGAACUUCCCGGAUGGCGAGGCGGCCUUCCUUGGCGCUCCAUGUGGAUCCUCCCCGCUGGGCAUCCGAGAGCUGAGUCGGAGGCUGCGAAUUGCAGAGGGGCUGAAAUCGGGGUGCCGGGUCGGGACUCUGGAUCUGGGAUUAUGGAGUCAGCUUUGGGGGCGGGGAGGUCCAGGCUGUGGCCCCUUAGGCCACGUGAAGGGAGAGCCUCACAUUUGUUCACAGUGCUGAGGUGUGCAGGAUGGAGCAGCCCCAGGGCGUGUUGUAUCACUUGUCCAUUGUGCCUUGUGUGUCUUUUGUGCCUCUUGUGUUGUACGUGCCUUGCCUUAUCUCUUCUGGGGGCUUACCAGAAACCCCAGUGUCACUCCUCGCAUCUCUGAUCUCUGGGCUCCUCGGCCCGACGCCGUCGAAGCUUUGCCUCAGGAUCUCUGAGGCCUUGGAAUCGCGUCUCUCUUUUAAAAGCAUCCGAUCGGAUGUCUUUUAGAGGUCUUGUUCCGAGCUGUGUCAACAGCCGUGCGCCGCGAGGAUCCAUUGCUGCGGCUUAGGUCUUGAAGAAACACAAAGAUAGGUAGAGGAUUGUGGCCCUAAAAUUCUCGGGCAUCCGUCUUGGCAGUUGCUGGAGUUCGUCAUUCCAUCAGCAUCUUCUUCCUCCCGGGUUCUGCGAGCUUCAUCAGCUCGCCUUCAUUCUCACCCGGCUCAUCUCGUUCCGCGUUCUCUCGGUCCUUGCGGCCAUUCUUGUGGCCCAGAGUUUUGUCUCCCCGUUGUGUCCCCUCGUCUGUUGUCUUGUGUGUCACGGGUGUCUGGGUGUAGUUGUCCCGGAGCUGCUCUGUCCUGCUGCCCAGCCUGGGUGUAGGUGUAAAAGGCCGAGUCCUAGGCCCCUGUAAUUUGAAAUUUGUCAUGUAGGGCAUAGUUGGAGUCUAGAGGGUGUUCCUCGAUGGACACAAGAUGUGUGGAGCUGUGAAGUUACCCUGCAGCACUUUGACUUUUGUCUCAGCUUUCUUUCAGAUGCGGACGGAUGAAAUCAGUGGCAGAGCGCCCCAUCCAGGGUAAGGGGGUUCCCCUGAGAAGGUAAGUCAAUGUUUGUCUUUGCAGGGCAACUGGAACCGGUCACUGUGUUACAGGUCUCCUCUUUGUCUUUAUUUUUAGGAAGUGAAGCCGGCUAGCAGCAGUCAAGGCGAAGUGGGCAAGGCGGUCCAGUCGCGUUUCGCUGAGACGUCCUUGCCAACCGGCCGGCACAGCUGUUUCGCCGCUCCCGUGAGCCCGGCGGAAGCGUUACGGGACCGUGUGACGGAGCCUUUUCCACGUAAAGGGGCCAUGUGGGUGGCCUUCAGGAACGGGCCAAGGGGUUGCCGCGCGCCCUGCGACGACGGCGUCCGGCUCCCGGCGUGGCCGAAGCGCGCGGCCUCAGGACGUGGCCGUUCGCAGGAGACCCUGACCGAGAGACGGCUGCCUGGCGAUGGCAGGAACUUCCCAGAUGGUGAGGCAGCCUUCCUUGGCACUCCACGUGGAUCCUCCCCGCCGGGCAUCCGAGAGCUAAGUCGAAGGCUAUGAAUUGCAGAGGGGCUGAAAGUCGGGUGCCGGGUCGGGACUCUGGACCUGGGAUUUUUAAGUCAGCUUUGGGGACGGGGAGGUCCAGGCUGUGGCCCCUUAGGCCACGUGAAGGGAGAGCCUCACUUUUGUUCACAGUGCUGAGGUGCGCAGGACAGAGCAGUCCCGGGGCGUGUU